GAUGAACGCUAGCGGGAGGCCUAACACAUGCAAGCUGAGCGGUAUUUGUCUUUCGGGACAGAGAGAGCGGCGUACGGUGCGUAACACGUGUGCAACCUGCCUUUAUCAGGAGGAUAGCCUUUCGAAAGGAAGAUUAAUACUCCAUAAUAUAUUAAUUGGCAUCAAUUGAUAUUGAAAACUCCGGUGGAUAAAGAUGGGCACGCGCAAGAUUAGAUAGUUGGUGAGGUAACGGCUCACCAAGUCGAUGAUCUUUAGGGGGCCUGAGAGGGUGAUCCCCCACACUGGUACUGAGACACGGGCCAGACUCCUACGGGAGGCAGCAGUGAGGAAUAUUGGACAAUGGGUUAGCGCCUGAUCCAGCCAUCCCGCGUGAAGGAUUAAGGACCUAUGGUUUGUAAACUCUUUGUACAGGGAUAAACCUACCCUCGUGAGGGUAGCUGAAGGUACUGUACGAAUAAGCACCGGCUAACUCCGUGCCAGCAGCCGCGGU
rnacentral:rRNA from 1 species